UUUUAACUAUGGACAAUUUGGCUACAUCCAAGGGGAGUUGUGAAGAGGCAUAGCAAUGGAUUUGACUUGAAGAUAGCUAUCGAGAGCGUCCAUGCCACUUUCACGACAAUUACCACUCAUCUUGUAGCCACCGUAAGGCGAGUCGAGGUCAAAUGCGAAGUAGCAGUUAACCCAAAUGACUCCAGCUUUGAUUGAUCUCGAAACCGUGUUGAUCACGUCAACGUUUUGGCUCACUAUUCCAGCUGCUAGACCGUAUUUCGUGUUGUUUGCGCAUUUGAUUCCUUCCUCCAUAGUCCUGUGGAAGCAAAUAUAUAUAGAGAUGUUUAGUGUUCUAUGGAAUGUGAUCAAGAAUGAGAAGAGAAAAUGGGGGAGUUUUCGUUUGCUUUACUUGAAUUUCAUCAAAGACAUAACUGGUCCAAAGAUUUCUUCUUUGUAUAUCUUCAUAUCGUCCUGUAACCAACAAAAAUAAAAACCCAUUAUUUAAAACAAACUUGUUACUAGGGACUUACGCGACAUUUCUGGUCCCGGUCCUAGUCCGAAGGAUUCAAGAAAUGUGUAAUAUUACCGUGACAUCUGCGAAUAUAGUUGGUUCGAUGUAGUAUCCUUUGUCUCCAAUAGCGUUCCCUCCAGUUAAUAACGUAGCUCCUUCGUUUUUGCCAUGCUCAAUGUAAGAGAGAACCUUCUCAUAUUGUUUUUUAUCCACCUGAAGACACCAAAAAAUAAUCAACUAAUAUAAUCUACUUAAAUCUACUCAUAAUCAAAGAUCAAUGAACUAGUCUAUUUUACUUGAGGUCCUUGUCGAGAAGUGGAAUCAAAAGGGUCACCAACGGGCCAGUCUUUAACCUUCUCCACCAUUUUCGCUACAACCUUAUCGUAUAUACCUUCUUGGACAAACACACGAGAGCUCGCCACGCAGAUCUCACCCUGCACAAUCCACCAAAUAUGUUUUACAUAACAAUGUCACAAUAUUGGUUGAUAUUUGGCCUCUAUGAUAUUAUACCUUGUUGUAGAAGCAACCUAGUAGCGCAAGUUCGGCGGCUUUGUUAACAUCUGCAUCAUCGAAAAUGAGAAGAGGCGAUUUUCCGCCUAAUUCAAGGGACACUUUUUUUAGAUUGCUUGUGGCUGCGGCUUGCAUUAUCUUCCUCCCAACAUCAGUUGAUCCCGUGAAACUAACCUGAGCACAAAAAAACAAAAGACAUGAAUUCACAUACAACUAACAAAAGCCCCAUUACUUGAUGAAUCCACAAACUAAUUAUCUCAUAAGACGAUAGUUAUUUUACUUUGUCAAUGUCCAUAUGAGAGGCAAUGGCAGCUCCAGCAGUUGACCCAAAUCCAGUCACCACGUUGAUCACGCCAUCAGGAAAUCCCGCCUGUGAAUUUUCAACAAAAAUAAAUACAAUGUUUAGAUAGUUAAGCUUUAAUUUCUUCGAUUGCCUACACGUUUGGCAUUACUAUGAACAAGCUAUAGUUGUGUGUUUACUUUUAAAAUGAUACCAAAGCUUUUAGUGUUUUAUGUGUAUGGAUUGUUUCUUUGUUUAUGUGUAUGGAUUGUUUCUUUGUUUAUAUUUGUUUAUGUGUAUGGAUUGUUUCUUUGUUUAUGUUAUAUAGUAUUAAGAGUAAACGUAUACGUAACCACAAUAUACAAAUUACAAACAAACAAACAAACAAAGCGAUAUUUUAUAUGAUUUUAGAAAAUGUUUGUUUUAAAAAAUUAUGUAUAGAACAACCACGAUAUACAAACAAACAAAGAGAUAUUUCAUAUGAUACUAUUAUUUAGAAAAAGUUUGUUUUAAAAAAAUUAUGUAUAGAACAUACUUAAUAAAUAAAAAAUGAGAUAGAUAAACUUACUUCUUUCGAGAGAUGAGCAUAGAACAAAGCAGAGAGUGGUGUCUGCUCUGCUGGCUUGACCACCAUGGUGCAACCAGCAGCUAAAGCCGGAGCCACUUUCAUGGCAAACAUAAUGCUUGGAAAAUUCCAAGGGAUGAUGUGGCCGACCACUCCAAUAGGUUCUUUAAGUGUGUAUCCGAACAAAGACGGACGUGUCAUUCGAAGUGUCUCGCCGUGGAUUUUAUCCGCCGCACCCGCAUAGUACCGGAAAUGUCCGGCUGCAGCCGGAAUGUCAUUCAUUUUUCCCACUUGGAACAAUUUUCCGCCGUCAACCGCAUCAAGAGCAGCCAAUUCUUCAAUAUUCUGCUGUAUUAAGUCUGUAUAUUUGUUGAUAAUCCUUGCCCUCUCCUGAUCCGAUUAAAAUCACCGAAGCAUACAAUUAUAAACGACCUUAUCAAAAUUAGUUUAUUACACAUAAAACUAAAUUUGUAUAUAUACAUGGAAAAUUAAAAUAUGAUCAUAAUUAAUAUGAAUCAAUCUAUUUAUCAUCAUUUAGUUUUAGGUUGAAAAUUCAUCUAAUUUAAUAAUACAAACAACCUUAUCAAAACAAGAUUGUUAUAAAAUAUAAGUAAACUUAGAUAGAGUUUUCUGAAUAUGGGUAAACGUUUUUCUUAAUAACAUGAAAAUGACUUCGUGACACUAACAGCAAAAAUAAGUCAAAUCUGGACUCGUUCCCUAUACUGUAAAAAAUACACGAAUCAGUAUGGAUAUAUACUAAGAUACAACCCUAAUAAAUACAUAUUUAUUAGUGACCCACUACGUAUGGGACCACAUCAAUCAAUAAAUAUCAAUUAUUUUUUAUUUUAUAUAUUAUUUAUCAAUAAUUUGCUAACCAAAUUAAAAACGGGUAGGUACAAUAAAAAACAUGAGGUGAGAAAGAUAGGAACGUACGAAGCCAGUCAUUCGAGGCCAAGGACCAUGAUCGAAGGCGUGACGUGCAGCGUUAACGGCCAAGUCAACGUCUUCUUUGUCUCCUGCUGCUAUUUUCGCGAUCACUUCACCGUUCCUUGGGUCUAUGGUUUCAAAGGUUUUACCUUUAAAGUUUAAACACAUUAAAACAAAAACUGAAUGAUCAAAUAUUAUGUUUCAGAAAAAGAUUAUGCCAAAUUAAAUCAACCAGUCGGUUCAAUAUUCAAUCACGAGUUUUUACAUCUUCGUUUACAUUGUUAAGAACAAUACUUUAGCAAUAAUAUUAGUAAAAAAAACUUCUAGAAAAGGUUGCACCAAAAAAAAAACUUCUAGAAAAGGAAGAAAAAUAUUAGAGAAGAAAAUUAUAAAUUUGGGCUGAGAAGAGAAAUAGUCAGGUGGGACCAUCAACCACUGGUGUUUGAUAGUAGAACAUGUUUCCAGUCAGGAUAGCUUUUGAUAUAGGUUGUCAGAAGAAAAAAUGUUUCUUCCAACAACUUAAUAGUCAUCCAAAUUAGCCACUGAACUUUUAGUUGUACAUAUUUUAGGGAUUGGUCUAGGCUCAUGAUUCGCAUCCAAUGAAACCAGAUCCGAAGGAUACCGAAACAAAACAUUGGUGUCAUCCCAAAAAUUGAAGUGUUUAACAUGCAUAUAUUACCUGGUUCUCAAAAUAUCAAAAAUAUCUGUGUGGAUUAUACGUAUCCUAAAUCAUAAUUGUUUCAAGUUUCAUAUAUUUCAGAACGAUCAAAACAUUUUCAAUCUUUUUGGGGAGACGUAAUUUGGUUAAAUGCACAGAGAAGAAUCUGAGGCAGGGAUUUAGAUAGUCAAAGCCAAAAUCAGAAAAUAGGAAGGAUCUUGAUACAUAUUUUCUUCUGUUAAUGUCAACGUUUUGGAAUUGUGAGAUUAAGUAGAUAAGUAGUGAAAUUUAAAAACCUGAAGCAGCAUCAAGAAACUGGCCGUUAAUGAAAAGCUUGGUGAAUUUGAUCUCCGGUAACUUCGCCGUCGCGCCUCCGUUGCAUUUACCGUUCUCCAUCUUUCUCCUUUUUUUCUCUCUCUCUCUCUGUUCAGAGGACAAUAGAAGGACAGAGAGGUUAUGUAUGUAUUUAUAUCCAAGCCUCCCGUUUCACACGUCAGCAAGGCAAGUGAUUCAACAAAGUUUCGGAGCAUCAAUAUCCCAAAAACCCAAAUGGAAUGCUUAUUAUUAUUAUAAUCUUUUUUUUAGUUUUUAAUUAAAAAUAAAAUAAAAACAGAACCAAUCGUAGACCGCCACGUAUCGUGAGGUCUGCAAAACAGUACAAGAUACACCCAACAAAGUUUCUUAUUCUACGACUAUAAAGCAUGGUUUUUUCAAUAAUCGUGGGCCCCACCACGUAAGAAACGCUCAGCAUACUACGAUGCAGAUGCUCUUAAGGGUGAGGUUUUUCACAAAAUAAUAGACCCCACACCUACAUACACAUAUACAAUAUAUACUUAUACACAUAUGAAUUUUUAGAAUUCCAAUGGGUAAAAGCCCAGUAGUCUAAUAUACUAAACUGAAAAAGAAGGGGGGGAGAUAAAUUUUGACUGACCUAUCGUCUUGUUGAUGCAGAUAAAUAUUUAGACAUUAUCUAGUGUUUUUUUUUUCAGCAGACAUUAUUUGCUUACAUUAUUAUUAAGAAUACCAAUGUAAUUCUACUUAAGACUUAUUUAUUAUUACAACCAAUAUUUUUAAAUUCGAUCCGGACACUGAACCGGAUAAUUUUAUGGGUCACCAGGUUAUUGAAUCGAUCGCCGGCAAACCGGGGUGUAAUAAACUGAGAAGGGGGGGGGGAGGUGUAAUAAAUUUUUACCGAGCUAUCGUCUUGUUGAUUCAGGUAAAUAUUUGGACAUUAUCUAGUGUUUUUUUUUUCCAGCAGACAUUAUCUGCUUACAUUAUUAUUAAGAAUACCAAUUUCAUUCUAAUUAAGACUUAUUUAUUAUUACAACCAAUAUUUUUAAACUCGACCCGGACACUGAACCGGAUAAUUUUAUGGGUCACUAGGUUAUUGGAUCGAUUGCUGGCAAACCAGGAAUUAAUUAAUUAAUUAAUUUUUAUAUAAUAAUAUAUUAGCGAUUAAAAAUAUAAUAUAUACUUUAUGUAUCAAACAAAGUUUACAAACUACUUAACUUUAAUUUAUUUUUUUUCAAUUUUAUUUGAUAUAAAAAUAUCAGAAAAUAAUUUAGACUAAGUAACAAUUUUUGUAACAAGUUAAGAGUUAUGGAAUUUGAUAAAAAUAUGAAGACUUAAAAUUCAUAAGUAUUUAAAACAUGAGUGAUAAAAUUAUACUUUAAAUCCAAAAUAAACCAAAAGUAAAACAUCAAAUUGUAAUAGAUUAUUGAUAACAAAAAUAAACUAAUACCAAAUUACAUGAACUAUUUUAUUUCUCUCUCUAUCAUUGUUAACUUCAUUUUCUUCAAGUGACAUAGUUAAAUGUUCAUUAAAAUCUAAAAAUCACAAAUAAAUAGUUUAAUUAGUAUUAUAUAUGAUAAAAACUAAAAACUUAAAUUCUUAAUUAGAAUACAAAACAGAUUCUAGUAACCUAAAUUAAAAAAAAUCUAAGAAUAUAAAGUAAAAAUUACCUACUAAUUCAACCACUGGUUAAAUCGGUAGUCGGAUUCCGGAUUUUAAUGGUUUUUUAUGGGUUUUAUUGGUUUUUUAUGGUUUUUUUAUAAAACUCAAACCAAAUUAUACAUCGGAUCAUCGAGUUUACCAGUUAGACCGCCGAUCCGGACCGGGUUUCAAAACACUGCUUACAACCAUUCAUGUAGGUUUUACCUCUCAUUUGCGUUUAACUGUUUAAAAAAAAUACUAGAACUAUUUUAAUUUUUUAAAGUUUCUUGAAAUCAUUUUUAAGACUCGUAUACAUAAACAUAUGUGGUUGAACAAAAAAAAAACUUAGGUGUUUCCAUGGGAGCGUCUCCAGUGAAAAAAGUAUAUCCAGUCUACACAUAAGAAUAUAAAAUAAUUAAUUUCCAUAGAUGCGUUAAAAAAAUAUGAAUCUUCUUUUAUUUUUUCAAUCAAAAUUGUCAUUGACUUUGAAUAUACUAAAUACUGAGACUCACUACAGUUCUGUAUACAUUGGUGUAAAUGUGAAAGAAAUAAAAAGAAAAUUCGAAAGUGACAGAAAAGUAAAAAUAACCUACAAUACAAUAAAAGGUGGCGGUUCUUCGGCUAAACCGGAGUUCGGUUUAGCCUGUGGGGUUGAUUCCGGGGAGUUUGUGUUUAUGAACACUAAGGUUUAUUUGGAGAAGAGUAAUGGUUUUGAUGAGAUGAUGGAUAGUCCUGGUGAUUCGGAGGAGGAUGAUGAGGAGGAGUAUGAGAGGAGGAGGAAGAAGGGGGAUGAUGCGGCGUCGUAUAAGCUUUUGGCGGAGUCGGUUGAGAGGUUUGGGAAGGUUUUUGAGAAGAUGGAGAGGAGUAAGAAGGAGCAGAUGAAGGAGUUGGAGAAGAUGAGAGGUGAGUUUCAGAGAGAUUUGGAGUUGCAGAAGAAACAGAUUGUGGAGAGAGCUCAGUCUGAGAUCGCUAGGCUACGUGAAGAAGAGGAGGAGAAUCAUCAUGAUGAUGGUGGUGGUGAGAGUGAAGAUGAGGGAAUGGAGAAUGAUUCUGAUGUCAAUCUCAGUGAUUGAAUAAUUUAAUAACUAGGUUUGUAUGUUUGUUUUAUUAGAUUCAAGAAAGAUUAUGUUUUGCAUUUUGGGUAAUUCACAACUGGUAAGUGUUUGUAACUUGUGUUUGAUGGUUACAAGUUUUAUUGAUAUGGAUUAGUAAGGAUUAUUGUAAUAGCCAUGACAAGUGUCUCAAAUCCAUGCAUUGUUUUAUUUCCUCGUCAAGACAUUUUUGGUCUGAGGAUGAAUGCUGCUUCAAGCCUCACCAAGGAGUAAGUCAUUUGGAACAGGCAAUUGAUCAUCAUCAGCUGCAACUGCAAGUGGAUUCUAAAAGUAUUGGGCCAUUUGUUUCGUGAUUUUGAUUUGUAUUUUUUUUUCAAGAAAAGUAACGGCCUGGCCAUGAUUCUAGGAGAGAAAUUUAAAGCAAUUGCAAAAGAUCUCUGGACAUCGAGGCAGCUAUGAUGUGAAUUCAGGCUGUUUAGUGGCCUAUUUCAGUAAGUAUUGUUCGAGCUUCAGUAUUCUCCACUCAUAUCUUGGUUAUGGUACAAGAUUAAUAAUUUAAAGUUAGGUACAUGUCAAAACCAUAUACCAAACCAAAUUCGUAUAGUUAUCAUUUACACAUUUAAUAGAAUCUAACGGGAACGGGAGGUGCGGAUGCUGGUGGAGUGAGAGAUAUACAUAGACAUUAGAAAUGUAGAUUUCUGAAAUAGCUAUAAGACUCCUUGACAUGCAAUUGGACACUAUAAUCAUUGUUAAACGGAGAUCCAGCUACACGUACUGAUAAAAUUUGUUGCAAAAAAAAAAAGAAGAAGCAAUUGUUGACAUCCUAAUCCGAAGAUCCUUACUGCUCGAAUAAGAUUUGCUAAAAAGGAGUGUACACGUUUGAACGAAAAAUCACUUGUACGAGACAAAUAAUAAACCUCUUUUGUUAACUAGUGUUUCAAAAAAUAACAAAACUCUUAUUGAUUUAGUAAAUGGACAAAAGAAAAACGUACUGUAAAAAAAAGAUCACACAUGCUUUUAUUAAUGAUUACGUUUGUAUUUUAACUAUGGACAAUUUGGCUACAUCCAAGGGGAGUUGUGAAGAGGCAUAGCAAUGGAUUUGACUUGAAGAUAGCUAUCGAGAGCGUCCAUGCCACUUUCACGACAAUUACCACUCAUCUUGUAGCCACCGUAAGGCGAGUCGAGGUCAAAUGCGAAGUAGCAGUUAACCCAAAUGACUCCAGCUUUGAUUGAUCUCGAAACCGUGUUGAUCACGUCAACGUUUUGGCUCACUAUUCCAGCUGCUAGACCGUAUUUCGUGUUGUUUGCGCAUUUGAUUCCUUCCUCCAUAGUC
rnacentral:lncRNA from 1 species